rnacentral:rRNA from 1 species
CAGCAGCCACGGGAAUACAGAGGGUGCAAGCGUUAAUCGGAAUUACUGGGCGUAAAGCGCGCGUAGGUGGUUUGUUAAGUUGGAUGUGAAAGCCCCGGGCUCAACCUGGGAACUGCAUCCAAAACUGGCAAGCUAGAGUACGGUAGAGGGUGGUGGAAUUUCCUGUGUAGCGGUGAAAUGCGUAGAUAUAGGAAGGAACACCAGUGGCGAAGGCGACCACCUGGACUGAUACUGGCACUGAGGUGCGAAAGCGUGGGGAGCAAACAGGAUUAGAUACCCCAGUAGUCCCUGUCUCUUAUAC